rnacentral:rRNA from 1 species
CGUAGACUCCUACGGGAGGCAGCAGUGGGGAAUAUUGCACAAUGGGCGCAAGCCUGAUGCAGCCAUGCCGCGUGUGUGAAGAAGGCCUUCGGGUUGUAAAGCACUUUCAGUCGUGAGGAAGGUAGUGUAGUUAAUAGCUGCAUUAUUUGACGUUAGCGACAGAAGAAGCACCGGCUAACUCCGUGCCAGCAGCCGCGGUAAUACGGAGGGUGCGAGCGUUAUCCGGAUUUAUUGGGUUUAAAGGGUCCGUAGGCGGAUUAAUAAGUCAGUGGUGAAAUCCCAUCGCUUAACGAUGGAACUGCCAUUGAUACUGUUAGUCUUGAAUGAGGGUGCAGUGGUUGGAAUGUGUAGUGUAGCGGUGAAAUGCAUAGAUAUUACACAGAACACCGAUUGCGAAGGCAGAUCACUAACCCUAAAUUGACGCUGAGGGACGAAAGCGUGGGGAGCGAACAGGAUUAGAUACCCUGGUAG